rnacentral:piRNA from 1 species
AGAUAGCACUUGAGGAUUGACAGC